GUCCCCAUGUCCCCAACCGAUGUCCCCAUGUCACUGUUUCUGUGUCCCCAUGUCACUCUGUCCCCAUCUCCCCAUGUCCCGUCCCCAACACGGACGUCCCCAUGUCCCCAACAUCCAUGUCCCCGUGUUCCCACGUCCCCAUGUCCCCAACAUCCAUGUCCACGUGUCCCCACGUCCCCCUGUCCCCAUCUCACCGUGUCCCAUGUCCCCUGUCCCCAACACCAACAUCCCCAUGUCCCCAUGUCCCUGUGUCCUGAUGUCCCUGCAUCCCAAUGUCCCCAACACCGAUGUCCCCAUGUCCCCACGUCCCUGUGUCCCCAUGUCCCAUGUCCCCAACAUCCAUGUCCCCAUGUCCCUGUGUCCCAUGUCCCCAGGUCCCCAAGACCACUGCCCCAUGUCUCCAACACCCGUGUCCCCCUGUCCCCGUGUCCCUGUGUCCCCUGUCCCCAACAUCCAUGUCCCUGUGUCCCAUGUCCCCUGCCCCCAUAUCCCCCUGUCCCUGUGUCCCAUGUCCUAUGUCCCCAAAACCUGUGUCCCCCUGUCCCCUGUCCCCGUGUCCCCCUGUCCCACGUCCCCGUGUCCCCAGGGGCCCCGAGGACACGGCGGUGCUGGCGCAGGCGCUGCUGGCUCACCUGGACGCCCGCCGGGCGCAGCACCCGGCCAUGGUGGAGGUGGGGGACGGGGACGGGGGGUGGGGGUGGU
rnacentral:lncRNA from 1 species